UACGUAGGGACCGAGCGUUGUCCGGAAUCAUUGGGCGUAAAGAGCGUGUAGGCGGCCUGGUAGGUCUGCUGUGAAAACUCGAGGCUCAACCUCGAGAUGUCGGCGGAAACCAUCUGGCUAGAGUCCGGAAGAGGAGAGUGGAAUUCCUGGUGUAGCGGUGAAAUGCGCAGAUAUCGGGAAGAACACCCGUGGCGAAGGCGGCUCUCUGGGACGGUACUGGACGCUGAGACGCGAAAGCGUGGGGAGCGAACAGG
rnacentral:rRNA from 1 species